rnacentral:lncRNA from 1 species
AUCGCAGCUACGAAGAAUAAGAUUCAAGAUAUGUCCGAAUACCCUGUUUCAUGUGGAAAAUCUUCUAAAGGUAAGAAAGAGUCGCAAAGGUAAUUAAUUUGUUCAGAAAAAUUCACUCUUUUCUUAAUUUUCAUAAUUGUACAAACUGUGCUAUUUUGGUAGAUGUCUUUAAUUUUGUCAGUGAUAAUUUAUAUAGCCGACCUAAUAUAUUUGAAACUAAGACGUGAUUAUUAUUGUUCUUCAAUAUUUUGGUAGAUGUCUUUAAUUUUGUCGGUGAUAAUUUAUAUAGGUGACCUAAUAUGUUUGAAACUAAGACGUGAUUAUUAUUGUUCUUCAAUUUUGUCAAAUCCACAAAGCCCAUGACCUAUGUCAAUAAUAGAUGAAUCAGGACGGCUGGAGGUACAUGAACAAUCACCGAUAGAUGAACCGAGACGGGUAGUGGUACUUGAACCACCACCAAUAAACGAACCAGGAGAAGUGGUGGUACUUGAACCACCACCGAUAGAUGAACCAGGACGGGUGGUAGUACUUGAACCACCACCUAUAUCAAUAAUAGAUGAACAAGGAAAUGCACAAGGACAAGAAGAUAAACAAGAAGAAGGGAUUCAUGAUACAAUAGCACAAAGAGCAACAGCUCCGCGCAAACCGCCGCCACCUAACCCUAAGACUGGUUGAUAUAUAAUACAAGCCCUGGAAAUUCUAAAGAUCGUCCAUGUAUGAAAUAACUCGCUGGGAUGUUUGUAUACUUGUAUUCACAUAAUUUUUGUAUACCUUCCCAUUUCCGUUUAUAUAUGUUACCUUAUGUAAUUAUUAUGGAUGUUGCUAUUAUUAUUAUUAUUAUUAUUGUUGUUGUUGUUAUUGUUGAUGUUGUUGUUGUUAGAUUGUAAUUGAUAUAUUGUAGUUUGUUACAUCACAGUUCAUGGUAGUUUUUGUGACUACUCAAAGAGUCUUCACUUGUUAUCUUA